GAAAAAAAAAACCGAUCUUCCUUAGAUCCUUAUCCUUAGACUAGGGAUGUCAGUUUCGGUAAGAAAGGGAUAGAUUCUCAAGCAGUGGAUUCGUCGAAAAGACUCUCAGUUGAUUCUCCAAGAGUAAGAAGGCAUUCCCUCACAGCCUAGCAUGAAUUCCUUUCUUCCUUCCUCCUCCUACCAACUCUGCACUCUGUUCACGGUUAGCUGGGAAUUGAAAUAUAAGUGAGUAUUACACCUCGAAUUGACAAGCGGAUGAGUUUUC
rnacentral:misc_RNA from 1 species